AGUAUUUUAUAAUAUUAUGAAUUCCAAAGCUUUUUAAUUUUUAUAAGAGGGAACGUUAUUUAACGAUUAACAUUUUUUGCAAUCUUGACUGAUGACAUUGUUUCCAGAGUAUAAGGAUCUUCAUACAUUUUUUAACGACAUUUUCGAUCUGCGUUCAUAGCUAAUUUUAAUUAAAAUUUAUUUUUUUAAAUGUAAAGUAACCUAUUUUGAUUACAGAUUUUGUAAAAGAAAAGGUUCAAGAAAAAGCUUCUGUGAAAGAAGAGGUUCAAGAAGAGGUUAAAGAAGAAGGUGAAAUUGCUGUUUAAUCCGCAGCCCGUAGCAGAUAUUACGUAUCAAGGUGGUUUAGAUCAAGCCACAAAGAAUUCCUCUUCAUUGUCCUGAUAAAUUGUAGUUUAUAGUACAGCAAAAUAAAAUGUAAAAAAAAUUAUGAACUGUAUUUCGUUACGCAUGUCUGCAAUAAAUAUAUAAAAUUAUUGAAAACCA